rnacentral:rRNA from 1 species
AACGAACGCUGGCGGCAGGCUUAACACAUGCAAGUCGAGCGCCCCGCAAGGGGAGCGGCAGACGGGUGAGUAACACGUGGGAAUCUACCCAUCUCUACGGAAUAACACAUGGAAACGUGUGCUAAUACCGUAUACGUCCUUCGGGAGAAAGAUUUAUCGGAGAUGGAUGAGCCCGCGUUGGAUUAGCUAGUUGGUGGGGUAAAGGCCUACCAAGGCGACGAUCCAUAGCUGGUCUGAGAGGAUGAUCAGCCACACUGGGACUGAGACACGGCCCAGACUCCUACGGGAGGCAGCAGUGGGGAAUACUGGACAAUGGGCGCAAGCCUGAUCCAGCCAUGCCGCGUGAGUGAUGAAGGCCCUAGGGUUGUAAAGCUCUUUCACCGGUGAAGAUAAUGACGGUAACCGGAGAAGAAGCCCCGGCUAACUUCGUGCCAGCCGCCGCAGUAAAAC